AUGCCCAACUUUUCCGGCAUGUGGGGCUGCAGAUUCUUCCACUUUUUUCAUAUGAAGAUAGGCAUCAAAUUCCAUGAUAUUUAUUCCUUUUUGAUUUCCCUUGUUAUGUCUGUGAUAGUCCUCCUUUCAGCAGUCGGUAUCAUUAGCAUAGAUUUUGUGCAGGCUCACUCAGCUAAAGGAAGGCUUCAGCAUUUUGAUGCUAAUACCUGUAAAUAUAGUUCGUGAUGAUCGAUUGAGCAUCUCCACGACACCCUUAUAAUACAGCUCUUUUGGCUCUUCUUUUGCUCUCUCGAUUUCCAUCCACUUCUGCUGUCAAUCACAACAUGGCUCCUAAUUCGCCUAUUGGGAUGUUUCAAAUGACCGAGUAUCAACAAGUUGUAGAGAACAAGAAUGGAUAUCGAUACUCUUUUGAACAAAAAAUCGUCAAAAAACGAGCUCGACGAUCCAAGAAGGAAGCUGAAGGUCCAAGUCCCUCAAUGGCAAAUCGAAGCCGAAUGACGUGGUUUGACAUCCAGUCUUUAUUGUGUAUGUGUAUUGUUUUUGGCUUGUUGAUGUGAAGUGAAUAAUAAUGAGGUAUUUACUCUACUAGAAAGUUUGAGCUCGGGUUUAUUUGUUUGUUUGAUGAAAAAAAUUGAAUUGUAUUUUAUCUUUAGUCUUGAAAUUUGUUUUAGCUUCAUUAUUGGAUUGUAAUUACUAAAAUUGGAACAAAAAAUUACUAAAAUGGUGAUAUAGACUAUUAAUUUAUUAUUUUGUAAA